rnacentral:rRNA from 1 species
UACGGAGGGAGCUAGCGUUAUUCGGAAUUACUGGGCGUAAAGCGCACGUAGGCGGCUUUGUAAGUAAGAGGUGAAAGCCCAGAGCUCAACUCUGGAAUUGCCUUUUAGACUGCAUCGCUUGAAUCAUGGAGAGGUCAGUGGAAUUCCGAGUGUAGAGGUGAAAUUCGUAGAUAUUCGGAAGAACACCAGUGGCGAAGGCGCACUUGACU